rnacentral:rRNA from 1 species
GAUGAACGCUGGCGGCGUGCUUAACACAUGCAAGUCGAACGAAACCUUUCGGGGUUUAGUGGCGGACGGGUGAGUAACGCGUGAGGAUCUGCCUAUAGGACGGGGACAACAGUGGGAAACUGCUGCUAAGACCCGAUGUGCCGAGAGGUGAAAUAUUUAUAGCCUGUAGAUGAGCUCGCGUCUGAUUAGCUAGUUGGUGUGGUAAGGGCAUACCAAGGCGACGAUCAGUAGCUGUUCUGAGAGGAAGAUCAGCCACACUGGGACUGAGACACGGCCCAG